GGGUGCGAUCAUACCAGCACUAAUGCACCGGAUCCCAUCAGAACUCCGAAGUUAAGCGUGCUUGGGCGAGCACGAGAGUAGUACUAGGAUGGGUGACCCCCUGGGAAGUCCUCGUGUUGCACCCC
rfam:Erythranthe guttata cultivar DTN x IM62 scaffold_70_contig_3, whole genome shotgun sequence.